GUGGGCCCUCGAAAUCCUGUGGCGAGAGGAUUCAGUCUGGGGCGGCAGACGCGGCGGCGGAAAUCGAGAAGGGCUUCCCCGAACGGGGGCCGUCUGCCGUCGUGCCUUUCGUCGUCCCAGACGCAUUUGUCUCUCGUCCUGAGGACGCUGCAGCCGGUCUGGCAGUGCAAGCGUGACGGCCUGAAGGUCGGGAGAUGGCAGGUGGCCGGUGGCUCGCCUCGUGCGGGUCGUCGGUUGUUAGCCGUCCCGUCAGUGGCCCGUCGCCAGACCGUGGUGUCGCGAGUCCCUCCGGGGACUCAACGUCUCCACCCAGAGUCGCGGGACUGAUCGCGGCAAGGGUGUCUCGCUCAUCCGUCGCACCCUCUCGGCGUGGACGGAGCGGCGCGGCGCCCCGUUGGCCGCGACGGACCCGUUGGGGACCGGAGGCUGGCAGCGAGUAGGUCGGUCACCCACCCGACCCGUCUUGAAACACGGACCAAGGAGUCUAACAUGUGCGCGAGUCAAUGGGUCUUGACUAGGCCCAGGGGCGCAAUGAAAGCGAAGGACGGCCUCGCGUCGUCCGAGCGGGGAUCCCCCUUCCUCGGAGGGGGGCGCACCCGCGACCCGUCCUGUGCGGCUCGCCGCUUGGGCGGAGUCUGAGCGUACACGUUGGGACCCGAAAGAUGGUGAACUAUUCCCGGGCAGAAUGAAGCCAGAGGAAACUCUGGUGGAGGUUCGCAGCGGUUCUGACGUGCAAAUCGAUCGUCAGACCCGGGUCUAGG
rnacentral:rRNA from 2 species